UACGGAGGAUCCGAGCGUUAUCCGGAAUUAUUGGGUUUAAAGGGUGCGUAGGCGGCCAUUUAAGUCAGCGGUGAAAUUUUGCAGCUUAACUGUAACAGUGCCCUUGAUACUGUUUGGGCUAGGAUUUGGUUGUAGUGUGCGGAAUGUGUGGUGUAGCGGUGAAAUGCUUAGAUAUCACACAGAACACCGAUUGCGAAGGCAGCACACUAAGUCAUUAUUGACGCUGAGGCACGAAAGUGUGGGGAUCAAACAGGAUUAGA
rnacentral:rRNA from 1 species